GCACAGGUAGAUCCUGACAUUGCAGCAAUUGUGCCGCAUUUAAUGACUCUUGCCCCGACCGAGUUCAGUUCCAAUAUUAUUCCGGAGGAGCAAGCAAUAGCCAUGGGUAGCGUUCCGGAGAAUGACGAUAAUUCACUUUUUGAAUUUCAAGAUGUCGAAUACUUAUUAGAUGCGUCAAUUGAUAGAUCACCGACAGAGCCUACUCCAAGCUGAUCAUCAGGAAUACCGGUGCAGACUUGCAAAAAAAUGCGUGUGGCGGCAAAGCGAACUCGGUCAGAAUCAUCGAGCGAAUCAUCAUUGUCAGAGACUAGACGCUCUCUCAGCUGAGGACAGAGAGCUUUUUGAGAUGAAGAAAUACCAUGAGCAAAGAAUAUCAAGAUUGAUGGAAGGUAACGAAAACGAUAUUCAUCUGCUGAAAGUUCAACACCUUUUACGAAUCCAAGAAUUUGAAAUCAGGAAAGCCACAGCAGAAGCGAAAUUGGCUGAAUUCAAACUUGCGCGUGAAAGGGACAACCUUUGGUCUUCAAU